UGGCAGAAAAAUCCUCUAGCCCAAGAAAAAUCGAAGCUCUAAUUACAAUUCCAGUUGACUUUGCUAUUUAUAUCCUGUAAUGGUCUAAAGUUCAGUAAAACACUCAUUUGCAUUUACUAAGAGUUUACGUGGCCUGGAACAGAAAAAGAAACAAAUUAGGUGGUCGUCUCGGUUUCCUGGAGUGUCCAGAGGGGCGGUUCUUUGAUCUUCGAGUUCAACGGGCCCCGGGACCGCCCAUUGGUCUGGGCGGAACCUCCCCCACCACACCUCCGGGAAGACGGCAACGAAAACGCGUUGGGCCCGGAGCAGGGCUUGGGAAAAUCGGCGGCGAUUCGGGGCCGCCCGCUGGGGAUUCCCAAGGUUGUGCAGCCCAAAGGGCCUGGUCACAAUUUCUGAGGCGAUGGGGUAAACCGACCCUUGGCGACACCCGGCUGCACUCGAACGUCCUAGGUCGUCGAGCCCCGCCCUCACCCUGGACGAGCUCCGAAAUUUAACCCUGGGUCGGUUUUGCCUGUUUUACCGCUAUUUGAAGAGGGGCACUCAGCUUCCCUCUGGCCCUAGCCCAGGUACUGGGGUUUGCGCCGGACGGAUGCCACGCCCCAGGGCGGCCAGGCCACUGGUGAUGGGUGACGGGCGGUGCCUCCAGGGUCCCAGUGGUUCCCCGACCGGGAACUACGGGCUUUCUCGCCUCGGCGCCCCCUGGCGGGCCCACCAGCAGGUUGACGGUGUCCGGCCAGUGCUGAGCACCGAGAGCCUCAGCCUUCAGUGAACCCCCCCCCCCCGCCCCGGCGGCCUAGGAAAGUGAAUCUCAGGGUCCUUGGAAAGAAGUGACCUUGAUCUUCCCACCCACUAUCCCAGUUUCUCAGAGGCAGUCAACACUGUUCCCACCAAACCACUCCCAAAAGAAACACUGAGCAUGUAAGUGGGACAAUAAAAAUUUAAAAAUAAUUUUAAAAUAGAACAGCUUAGAGAUAGAAACUAAAUUAUUUCCAAUUCCUACUGUGCCCCAAACAAGGUUCACAAAAGGGCUGUCCUCCCAAUAAUUUUCUGAAUUCUAUAUAUUCAGCAUUAAAUUCCAUGAUAAAGUUGGAAAUCCAUUCACCAUUUGUAAUACAUAUUGAUGCAUUUAAUAAAAUUGCAUGGGCCGUA